UGGGGAAUAUUGGACAAUGGGCGAAAGCCUGAUCCAGCCAUGCCGCGUGUGUGAAGAAGGUCUUCGGAUUGUAAAGCACUUUAAGUUGGGAGGAAGGGCUGCAAGUUAAUACCUUGUAGUUUUGACGUUACCAACAGAAUAAGCACCGGCUAACUUCGUGCCAGCAGCCGCGGUAAUACGAAGGGUGCAAGCGUUAAUCGGAAUUACUGGGCGUAAAGCGCGCGUAGGUGGUUUGGUAAGAUGGAUGUGAAAUCCCCGGGCUCAACCUGGGAACUGCAUCCAUAACUGCCUGACUAGAGUACGGUAGAGGGUGGUGGAAUUUCCUGUGUAGCGGUGAAAUGCGUAGAUAUAGGAAGGAACACCAGUGGCGAAGGCGACCACCUUGACUGAUACUGACACUGAGGUGCGAAAGCGUGGGGAGCAAACA
rnacentral:rRNA from 1 species